UAAUAGCUCACCAAGGCGACGAUCAGUAGCCGAACUGAGAGGUUGAACGGCCACAUUGGGACUGAGACACGGCCCAGACUCCUACGGGAGGCAGCAGUCGGGAAUAUUGCACAAUGGAGGGAACUCUGAUGCAGUGACGCCGCGUAUAGGAAGAAGGUUUUCGGAUUGUAAACUAUUGUCAUGUGGGAAGAAAAUGACGGUACCACAAGAGGAAGCCCCGGCUAAAUAUGUGCCAGCAGCCGCGGUAAUACAUAUGGGGCGAGCGUUAUCCGGAUUUAUUGGGUGUAAAGGGUGUGUAGGCGGACUUUAAAGUUGGUUGUGAAAUCCCUCGGCUUAACUGAGGAACUGCAACCAAAACUAAAAGCCUUGAGUGUUAGAGAGGAAAGUGGAAUUCCUAGUGUAGCGGUGGAAUGCGUAGAUAUUAGGAGGAACACCAGAGGCGAAGGCGACUUUCUGGCUAAACACUGACGCUGAGACACGAAAGCGUGGGGAGCAAACAGGAUUAGAUACCCUGGUAGUCCACGCUGUAAACGAGGGAUACUAGGUAUCGGCUGGAUGGCUGUCGGUGCCGAAGUUAACGCAUUAAGUAUCCCACCUGGGGAGUACGACCGCAAGGCUAAAACUCAAAGGAAUUGACGGGUCCCCGCACAAGCAGCGGAGCGUGUGGUUUAAUUCGAUGCUCCGCGAAGAACCUUACCUGGGUUUGACAUAACAGUGGUAGAGAAGUGAAAACGGAUCGACCCUUCGGGGAGCUGUUACAGGUGUUGCAUGCCUGUCGUCAGCUCGUGUCGUGAGAUGUUCGGUUAAGUCCGCUAACGAGCGCAACCCGCGCUGUGUGUUACAAGUGUCACACAGUACCGCCGGUAUUAAGUCGGAGGAAGGUGCGGAUGACGUCAAGUCAGCAUGACCUUUAUAUCCAGGGCUACACACACGCUACAAUGGUCAGAACAAUAGGUUGCCAAGCCGCAAGGCGGAGCCAAUCCUCCAAAUCUGGCCUCAGUUCAGAUUGCAGGCUGCAACUCGCCUGCAUGAAGUCGGAAUCGCUAGUAAUCGCGGAUCAGAAUGCCGCGGUGAAUACGUUCCCGGGUCUUGUACACACCGCCCGUCAAG
rnacentral:rRNA from 1 species